UCACACCCCACCAUCACUGCCCACCACCAACUCCAACGCCACCUCCUAAACCACCGCCACAACUACCGUCGUCGGACUACCGCCGGUCUCUGUUCUCCGAUCAUCUCUUAUUCCCACCACCACCACCGUCCCCGCCCUAUCCACCUCCUCGAUUAGUUCAUACCUGCAUAGCUAAUCGAACAUAAAGUCUCAACUCUAGCAUGAAAAGACGGACAACGGGAGCGGAGUCCGUGUGAUUGUUCAUCGCAGUGGUUCAAGAAUUUGAUGUCUUUUUUGAGGAUUUAGGAAAAGAAGAAAGGAGCAAAAACUGGAAUCUUUUUUUUUGGGAGGAAAUCAAAUGAUUGAUUUAUUGUCCAUAAAAAAUCUCCCUCCAUAACAACAGCAGCAAGCAAGCAGCUGGUUAAGAAUAAAGUAUUGCAAGCAAAUUAAGGUGGGGUUUCUAGAAGAUUUCUGAGUUAUUCAUAAAACGCAAUUUUCAUAAAACGCAAUUUGUGUAACAAUGAAUUUUGUAAGUCGUUGCAUUUUAGAUUUGUGUUUUAUAACAUACCCAAAUCAUUGCGUUUUAGGAAAAACACUUUAUUUUGAGUUUUUAAUCCAUUGCGUUUUAGAGAAAACAUAUUUUUUGUGACUUUUGGUCCAUUGUGUUUUAGGAAAACACAUUUUUGAAGUGUUUUUAGUCAAUUCCACUUUAGGUAAAACACAUUUUUAUGUGUUUUUAGUUCAUUGCGUUUU
rnacentral:lncRNA from 1 species